rnacentral:rRNA from 1 species
UGGCAGCAGUGAGGAAUUUUGCGCAAUGGGGGCAACCCUGACGCAGCAACGCCGCGUGAGUGAAGAAGGCCUUUGGGUCGUAAAGCUCUGUCGAUAGGGAAGAAAUUAUUGUUGUUUAAUAGAUGACAGUAUUGACGGUACCUGUAGAGGAAGCACCGGCUAACUCCGUGCCAGCAGCCGCGGUAAUACGGGGGGUGCAAGCGUUAUUCGGAAUUAUUGGGCGUAAAGGGCGCGUAGGCGGUCUUGUCGGUCAGAUGUGAAAGCCCAGGGCUCAACCCUGGACGUGCAUUUGAAACAGCAAGACUUGAGUACGGGAGAGGAAAGCGGAAUUCCUGGUGUAGAGGUGAAAUUCGUAGAUAUCAGGAGGAACACCGAUGGCGAAGGCAGCUUUCUGGACCGAUACUGACGCUGAGGCGCGAAGGCGUGGGUAGCGAACGGGAUUAGAUACCCUGGUAGUC